UACAUGGGGUGCAAACGUUGCUCGGAAUUAUUGGGCGUAAAGCGCACGUAGGCGGUUUGUUAAGUCGGAUGUGAAAUCCCUCGGCUCAACUGAGGAAGUGCACCCGAAACUGGCAGGCUUGAGUACUAAAGAGGGUCGCGGAAUUCCCGGUGUAGAGGUGAAAUUCGUAGAUAUCGGGAGGAACACCGGUGGCGAAGGCGGCGACCUGGGUAGAUACUGACGCUGAGGCGCGAAAGCGUGGGGAGCAAACAGG
rnacentral:rRNA from 1 species